rnacentral:rRNA from 1 species
UAUCUCUGUAGAGUCUGCAUAUCAAUAAGCGGAGGAAAAGAAACUAACAAGGAUUCCCUCAGUAACGGCGAGUGAAGCGGGAAGAGCUCAAAUUUGAAAUCUUCAAGGUUUUACCUUGACGAAUUGUAGUUUAAAGAAGUGUUUUCUGUUGAAGUUUCGGUAAAAGUUCUUUGGAAUAGGACAUCAUAGAGGGUGAGAAUCCCGUAUUUGACCGUUAUUUUCAGCUGUGUGAUACACUUUCAAAGAGUCGGAUUGUUUGGGAAUGCAGUCCAAAAUGGGUGGUAAAUUUCAUCUAAAGCUAAAUAUUGGCGAGAGACCGAUAGCGAACAAGUACCGUGAGGGAAAGAUGAAAAGAACUUUGAAAAGAGAGUUAAACAGUACGUGAAAUUGUCAAAAGGGAAGCGUUUGACACCAGUGUUGUUUUCUCGAAAAUCAAUUAAAAAUGGCUUGAUUUUGUGUUGUAUUGACCUUAAAGCUUUCUUCACUUUUUUCAUGUCUUUUUUAAUGCACUUUUCGUUUAACAAGUCAACAUCAGUUUCUUUUGUUGUAAAAAGGUCAUUGGAAGGUGGCUUUCUUUUCGGAGAAAGUGUUUAUAGCCUUUGACUCCUGCAAUCGGAGAGACUGAGGUCUGCAGCGUAGAUCCUUCUUGGAUUAGAUUCAUUUGUGCUAAGUUAUAGCUUUUUAUAGACAACUUGUUGACUAUAUUUAGUCUUGUAGCUUACUCGCUUAUGCAAUUUUACCUACGCUUAGGAUGUUGAACGCGCACAGAGUCUC